rnacentral:rRNA from 1 species
AAUCAACGCUGGCGGCGUGCCUAACACAUGCAAGUCGAACGAGAAAGUGACUUCGGUCACUGGACAGUGGCGUCCGGGUGAGUAACACGUGGGUAAUCUACCUUCGGGUGGGGAAUAACGUCUCGAAGAGACGCUAAUACCGCAUAAUGCAGCGGCACCUUAUGGUGAAUAGUUGUUAAAGCGGGGAUCGCAAGACCUCGCGCCUGAAGAGGAGCCUGCGGCAGAUAGCUUGUUGGUGAGGUAAGUGGCUCACCAAGGCUGCGAUCUGUAGCUGGUCUGAGAGGACGGCCAGCCACACUGGCACUGACACACGGGCCAGACUCCUACGGGAGGCAGCAGUGGGAAUUUUGGCAAUGGGCGCAAGCCUGACCCAGCAACGCCGCGUGAGGGAGGAAUCCUUCGGGAU